UACGUAGGGUGCGAGCGUUGUCCGGAAUCACUGGGCGUAAAGGGCGCGUAGGCGGCGCGGUAAGCGUGCGGUGAAAGCCCGGGGCUCAACCCCGGGUCGGCCGUGCGGACUGCCGGGCUGGAGCACUGUAGAGGCAGGUGGAAUUCCGGGUGUAGCGGUGGAAUGCGUAGAGAUCCGGAAGAACACCGGUGGCGAAGGCGGCCUGCUGGGCAGUAGCUGACGCUGAAGCGCGACAGCGUGGGGAGCAAACAGG
rnacentral:rRNA from 1 species